GGAGCGCUUCCCGGGCCGCCGGCCGCACGCGGGGCAGUGGAAACUCGGGGGGCGGGGUCAGGUCCUCCUGAUCGGGCGCGGCCUGCAGGGCCUCCCCCGGGAUCCCAGGGUGGGUGCUGCAGGGCCGCGGGCGCAGCUUUCCCGGGGGUCCCCGGCCCUGCGGGGGUUCGGGCAGUGAAUACUAGGCGCGGCCCUUCACGGCGUCUUGAGAGCGGCGUGGGGCGGGCGCAGCACCCCGGAAGAAAGAUGGGAUCAGACGGAAGAGUGCCGCCCUGCUGGUGGUGCCCGGACGGGGUGCAGAGCAAACAGGCUGGGAAGGCCCGGUGCCAUGUGGGGGCGGGGGGCAGGCCAAGCGCUUGCAGAGGCUGGCGUUAGUGACCCGGGACUCCAGCCACCUCCGUUCCACCUCGUUUCCUUAUAUAAACCUGGUAGUGUUUUCGUCACUUGGGACAUGGUCUUGAGACGCUAGUCCGCUGUCUUCCGUCUUCCCGGCGGUGGCCUCACUGAAAUAAAUUUCUCAUGUUACCACCA